rnacentral:ncRNA from 1 species
UGAAGUAUUGAUUGUGGCAGAAGCUGUGGUAGUCGUUGGGGCAGCUAGUCAUGCGGAAUGAGCUCGCCUGGUGAAGCGGGAUGAACCGAACAUAAAUUUAAAGUGCCAAAUGCUGGCUCACCUAGAUACCAUAUAAGGCGCUGGUUCGUUCAGACAGCAGGACGGUGACCAUGGAAGUCGGAAACCGCUAAGGAGUGUGUAACAAUUCAGAAUGCCCCCCCACUAGCUCCGGCAGAAGCUUGCAUUGAACCGUGGAAUUAUACACGUGGAAUACUUACAGGUAA